rnacentral:lncRNA from 1 species
UAUAAUAUGUGUGAUUAUUAUAAUAAUUGAUAUUAUGUAAUGCCCCGUUUUUUUUUUUUUUCUUAAUGGCGUAAACUAAGACAAUUCCACGGAUACAUAUGAACGCGUCAUUCCAAAUCCACCACAAACAUAGAAACCUUAACGCAAUCUAUUAUUCAAAGUCACAAUAAACCUACAACCCUACAUGUAAUAUCACAGUGAAGAAUAAUCUCACAGACUCCUAGCAGACACACUAUCUACUCUACUACUAGUUAUUACACACUCAAUCAUGCCAAAUAACGAAAGCAUUAUUGCCCUGUUCCUCUAUCCCCUAGGCUCGAAAAUGAGCAACUCUGAUCCCGACUCCAUCCCUACUUCAUCUGUAAAUAAUAAGGAGUGAGUAUAUAUAACUCAGUACAGUAAAAAUUAAGUUACAAGCAUCAUAUACAACAAUAGGGAACUCAGGGGUCCUAUAUGUACUCUACCUACUCAACCUAAUACCUACCCUUGGUAAUUUAAAAAUUAUGCAUGUUAAUUGUGACCGCCCCUCAACGUCCCCUAACCCUACGAAUACUCUCUCCCGUCACCAGUAUCAGCGAUCACCAAUAAACUGCCUAUCUUCCGACCCCUAAUAGGCCACACACACACACAUAUACCAUUCUCACCCGUCACCAGUAUCGACGCCCACUAAUAAACUGCCUAUCUCUCGACCCCUAAUAGACCACACACACACACAGAUUCUAUUCUCAUCCGUCACCAGUAUCGAUGAUCACCAAUAAAUCGCCUAUCCCUCGACCCCUAAUAAGCCACACACACGCACAGAGAUUCCAUUCUCACCCGUCACCAGUAUCGGCGACCACCAAUAAACCGCAUAUCCCUCGACCCCUAAUAGGCCACGCCCAAAUACCAUUCUUUCUCAUCACCAAUAUCGGCGACCAAACCCCUUACCGUCGAAGUCUCCCGACCAUCACCACCAUCGGCGAUUAACUUACUUUUUCUAGUUAAUGACCACCAAUAUCGGCAUCCCCCAAUGUUACCAACUCAAGGACCCUACCAUCCCGUACUCGCUCCACCAUAUUAUCCUGAGGCUCUCCUAUUCCUUUACCUGGUAUACCAGCCCAACACACAUCUCCUCCUAUAACACACACUAACAUUUCACACACACGCCGAUAAUGUUCCCUCGCCAACCAUUACAUUUACAACAGCUAUACCAACCUAUAUACAACCCACACCCUCAUACCACACAACUACCAACACACCCUUAUCCCGAUACUUUAAACCAUGCCUUAUUGGCCUCUCUUUUCCUUUCCCAAAUUUCCAGCAUAUACGCUCUCCUCUCCUCUAUAUCUACCUCUCUCUACUGUCAUACCACACUUCUCCUCUUACCCCAAUCUCUUCCCACACACCGAACUCAUCCUUCUCCCUCUUUCCACAGUCCACUCUAAGGACCCCCUGCAUAAUUAUGAACUCUCCUCUCUCUCACAAAACUCACACACUGCGUUCCUUCUUCUUCUACCUCCCACGACCUAUUCAAAAUAUCACAACUCACACACUCACAAUCACAACUCUCAUCUCUCUCUCAGAACACUCACCAUCUUCCUUCUUCCUUCUCUCUCCUCCCGCGGCCUCCUCCGUGUACCCCGCUCGCACACACACAACGUCAGCUCACCCUCACGGAUCUCACCCACUCACCGACCUCCUCGUUCACUCUCUCUUCCCGCGGCCUUCACCAUGUACUCACACUCAUAUUACACAAAAUAACCACACUCUCUCACGGAUCUCUCCCACUCUCCAACAUCUUCAUUCUCUCUCUUCCUGCGGCCUCCUCCGUGAGCACCUCCACGAUUCCACCUGCCAUCCACAACCACUUCUCUCUACCCCGUAGUCUAUUGCUCUACAUACUAAACGGAACCUAGAAUUCUCAACUUAAGAUCACAUAUUCGAAAUCACUCCACACCUAUACAAGAACUCAAAAGUUAUCGUACCUCCCGUCUCUAUUUGCCUCCUUCCCUUGGCUUGCUCUGUCACCGUCCUCUGUCUCCUUCUCUCUCUCUCUCUUCUCACUCCUCUCCACUUUGGCUCUUCUCUCUCUCUCGAACCUUCUCUUUCCCCCGAUCUCUCUUCUCUCUUUUCUUUCAUUUCCUCCCUUUUUUCUUUCCUCUUUUCUCUUUUCUUUUCUUUCCUCCUUUUUUUUUCCUCUUUUCUCUUUUCUUUUCUUUCCUCUCUUCCUACCUGUCCAUCUCAAAACGACGUCGU